UGCUCAAAUGUUUUUUAAAUUGCUGUGGUAUUUUGACUAUACAAAGGUAUUGAAAUAAGAUUUUAAUUGAAUGCUAAGAGAAUGGAAACCCAGAAAAAAACUUUUUUUAAAUUAAAAAUUGAAAUUUUUUUAAUUUGUGCAGAAACAAUUAUUAAUAUUAAGGACAAGAAGACCCUAUGAAUUUAUAAAAUUUUAUUCAAUAUGUUAUUGCUGUUGUAGAAUUUUUGGCUGGGGCGGCUAAAAAAUAUUUUAAACUUUUUAAAAGUAAAAUGAUCCAUUAUUAAUGAUUAUAUGUGAAAUACUCUAGGGAUAACAGCGUUAUAUUUUUUGAUAGAUCAUAUUGACAAAAAAGUUUGCGACCUCGAUGUUGGAUUAGGAUACUUUUUUAAUGCAGAUAUUAAAAAAAGAAGUUUGUUCAACUUUUAAUUUCCUACUUGAUCUGAGUUCAGACCG
rnacentral:rRNA from 1 species